rnacentral:rRNA from 1 species
AACGAACGCUGGCGGCAGGCUUAACACAUGCAAGUCGAGCGCCCCGCAAGGGGAGCGGCAGACGGGUGAGUAACGCGUGGGAAUCUACCCAUCUCUACGGAAUAACGCAUGGAAACGUGUGCUAAUACCGUAUACGUCCUUCGGGAGAAAGAUUUAUCGGAGAUGGAUGAGCCGGCGUUGGAUUAGCGAGUUGGUGGGGUAAAGGCGUACCAAGGCAACGAUCCAUAGCUGGUCUGAGAGGAUGAUCAGCCACACUGGGACUGAGACACGGCCCAGACUCCUACGGGAGGCAGCAGUGGGGAAUAUUGGACAAUGGGCGCAAGCCUGAUCCAGCCAUGCCGCAUGAGUGAUGAAGGCCCUAGAGUUGUAAAGCUCUUUCACCGGUGAAGAUAAUGACGGUAACCGGAGAAGAAGCCCCGGCUAACUUCGUGCCAGCCGCCGCAGUAACAC